rnacentral:tRNA from 1 species
AAAAGUGAAGCAAACAUUGCAAUCAGUUUCGACCUGAAAGAAGGUUUUUUACCCAUUUUUA